CCCAUCUUUAUAUCCAGAGAUUGUGCAGCUUGUUUAGGUAUCGAGACAUGAUUUCCAUUAUGCUUUUAUGAACCAUUAUAUACUGAUCAUCAUGCCACUGUUUCUCUUUCCUCCUCCUGUAGCUGUAGAUCUACUGCCAUGCUGCUGCUAUCACUGACUGCAUGUAUGAUUUGAUCAAAGGUUUAUGUUGGGAAUGGCAAGUCUGUCAUCAUGGAUGAUCAGUGAAUGAAGUGACCUUGAAGCAAGAACAAUGGCAAGCCAGAAGGGAAUCGUGAGGAUCACACAACUGUUCUUGAGUGGGAUAGAAUGAUCAAACAGUAAGUAAAGCUCUUUAGAUAAGUCUGUUGAUUGUUCUUUCCAAUGGUGGCUUACCUACCCAAGCACUACAGAAGAGAAUGUCCCUUGCAAGGAAUCUCCUCUGAGAAGAAAAGCUCCAUGAGUGCCUCUCUCCUUUUUCCUCUCCCCCUUUGGCAUCCCACCCAGCUGUGCUGUUGAAUCAUUAAGCUGCCUGUUAGAGUUAGGCCAUAUGUGUUUCCCCC
rnacentral:lncRNA from 1 species